CCCAGGACACUAUAUCGCCGACCCUUUCAUUUAUUAAGCACAUGCGGAAGCAGUUAUAAAUCCCCAGACAAUAAAACAAUGGGAUAGAAAAGCAGGGCCAUAUUUUUCAUAUUGAAAAUUAUAACCAAACUUUUAUACAAAACAAAAACCACUUCAAAACUAUUCACAUCAAAAUGGAGAUCUCAAAAGAAGAUAGGAUCUCAAUCCAUCCAUGCCAUCCUCAAGGCCCAUCUCGGUAUUAUCUUCUUCUUUCAAAAUCCUUCCCUUCAAGUUUCACCUCCAAGAUCUCCUUCCCAGACUUCUCCUCCUCAGCUCCUUAUCGGGUCCUGAAAUGUUUUUCCCCAAACUGGGAUGAGACUACGUCUCAGCGAGUUCUACCCCACUAAGCCCGAUUAGUAAACCAUUAUACUAAAGGCUGCCUAUACACGCAUAGGGCAAAAGACGUACCUUAGCAUCAGAUCCCACCUGCAAGUUAGUACAAUUCACAUAGGCACUCAAGCAAUCAUAUCACCGAUCGAAGCAUCGGUCUAAUCGACUUAAUCGAUUACACACCAACAAGACCACUCACGGUCAUUUCCAUUCAAUCAAUCAAUUCGCAACAUCAAAUCAAAGCAAUGAUCAAUCAUAUUGAAUCACACUCAGAUCGAAUCAUCGAUCAAUCGACCUAGUCGAUUACAAGUCAGUCGAAUCAUUUCUAGGUUAUUCACUCCAUCUCACAUAAUCUCCAAUAGUACACUUAGUCACAGAGCUCCAUCAAUGCUCUCGGGCGUCGUUUUCGCCAAAGUGAUAUAAGUAUCAGACGGUCUACGUGCGUUCUUUAAGGCGCCGUUUUUGCACAGUGAUAUUCCUCAUCACCGAACCACGCCCGUCACAGAUCACAAAUCACUGACAGUCUACGUGCGUUCUUUAAGGCGCCGUUUUCGCACAGUGAUGUCUUUCAUCACCGAACCACGCCUGUCAUGAUUCAUAGGUAGUCUACGUGCGUUCUUUAAGGCGCCGUUUUCGCACAGUGAUGUCUUUCAUCACCGAACCACGCCUACCAUAAGUCAUAGACAGUCUACGUGCGUUCUUUAAGGCGUCGUUUUCGCACAGUGAUGUACUUUAUCACCGAACCACGCCUGUCUAUACUUCGUACUUGAUCGGUCUCAGCCAAUAGAAUUCUCAGUUAGUUCUCAUCACUCUCUCCACUUACAGCUCAACAAGGCAGUACAAAUGCUAACUAUCCAUACUCGGCCAUCUACCAAUCAAUCAUUCCAUCUCAAUCAAUUCCAAAUCAAUUUAGGGUAAAUCCCUAAAAUAUCACAAUUUAUUCAAUUCCAUACAACGUGGAGCUCAAUUAAAUAAACGGACUGCGCCAUAACGAUCAGCACGAGAUUUCGGUCGUCGGCCAUCAAAAUCUUAAUUUCCGAAAAAUAAUCAAUUAAUUAAUUAAUUUCGAAAAUUAAAUAAUAAUUACUAAAAAUUCCAUUUAACUAAGAAUAAGGCCCAAUUAAAUAAACGGACUUCACCACGGUCAUCAGCAUAAUUUUCCGAUUCCGAACCAUCUCCCUUGAAUUUUCGGAAAAUAAAUAAUUAUUUAAUUUAAUUCCAAAAAUUAAUAUUUAAUUUCCCAAAAAUCUCACUUAGGCCCGAAUCGCCAAAUUGAUGCCCGAUUAGGGAUCCGAAAAUUCCCGAGAUGCCUUCAAUAAAUAGUAGACCACGUCUACUUGCUAAUUGCACAAUCAAUUUAUUUAAAUCACAUCACAAUUGACUAAUAAUUACUAAUUUAUUCUAAUCUAACAACCUAAACAUAAUUAAUUAAAACUAAAUCAACCUAAAGCAUAAUUAGCCAACUAAUCCAGGAUUAGUGAGAUUACUCACCAAAUCGCGCGCAAAUCGGAUCAAUCCGACGGCGGCGACGCGAGGAACAAUUCUUCCCAAAGCGGGCCUCGGGUUCGGGGCCGGGAAACGGCCCAAAAUGGCCCACGAACAGCUGGAUACCCACUCCGUGGGUUUGCUGGUUCGGCCGCAAAACAGCAAGAAAGAGAGAGGGUUGGGGGCGGCAAGAGGUCGGGAGAGCGGGUGGUGGCUUGGCGAGGCCGAGCGGUGGCCCACGGUGGCCGGAGGUGGCCGGAUCGUGGCCGAACAGAGCUGGACAGAGGAUGGGCAGCAGCUGGAUCGCGCGGGGGAGCACGCUUGGGCGCGAGGGAUGGCCGGCGGAACGCGCGGCGUUGUGCAGGCGGCGUCGCGGGCGGUUCGGCUCCGGUGCGGCGACGGGACGGGCGACGGUGGUCCUCGGCGAGCUGCUGCUCUUCUUUGCUGGUUUUGGUCUGGUUCGCACAAAGAAGAAUGAAGAAGAAGAAGAAGGUCACGUGGGGGAGAAGAGAGAGGAGAGAGAAGAAGAGAUAAGGUUGAAUGGUCAAAGGGAGAGAGAAAGAGAGAGUUGGCGUGGGGAGGGGGCUGUCCGCACGGAAGAAAAGGGGAGAGAAGAGAGAGAGAAAGAGAGAAAAAGAAAAAGAAAGAAAAGAAGAGAGAGGGAGAGAAAAGAAAUACUAAUAUAAUACCACAUGGUAUUAUUUUUCUUUUCUCUUUCCCUUUCUAUUUUCUUUUGGUCUUCAGAUUUUCUUCCCAUAAUUUCUUUAUUGAAAUUUCGGGCCCGUCAAUAAAUUGACGAGCGAUGAGAC
rnacentral:lncRNA from 1 species